GCUUGACAUUCCCAAACGCGCUGGCCUGAUACUCGGUGAACACCGGGCGCGCGACCGUGCUGGCCGCGUUCAGCAACAAGCUGCUUUCGUCCCCUGAGACCAGCGGGCUUCUCCCCAGGUUCAGCCUUCUAGGAGAGACAAAUAAAUAUCUGCACGAUAAAAUCAGCUGCAAAGAUCAAUAGCCACAUUCACAAAGCCAACUUCUAAAUAUGGUUCUUGACCUGGAGCUUCAAAGGAAUCUGAUAACUCACUGAACAGUGUAGGCCUCAGAGUAGUUGGCUCUCUUGCAUGGUUCUUCAGGGCUACAGAAGUGUGUGUCCACACUGAACAAAGAAGAAACUGAACCCACACAGCGUCUUUGAAUCCACACAGCAUCCCUUCAGCUACAUUUUAUCCAUUACAAAGAGUGACAAGCCUGCUCAGAUGAAAGGGGAGAGGACAGAGCCCCUGUUUCUUAAUGAGCUGAAUGCUAAAGACACUUUGUAGAACAGGGCGUGGGAUGGGACAUAUUGUUGCAGCAUCUUUGAAAAUGUAUUAAUGUUAAUGGGACACAUGUGUUCUUGAAUAGAAUAAUUUUACAUCAUAUGAAUGUUAAUUAUUUAUCAGUUAAUGUGUAAUUUAUUUUUUUUGGAAGUUAAAAAAUAUCUUUAUUAAUCUAGUUUAUAACGUCUAACUGCAAUUCUGUUGACCACUGAGCUGCAGUGGCAGUUUUUGUAAAAACAUGUUCCUCUGAGAGUCCAAACUUGGAAUCAAGCUGUUAUAAUGAAAUUUAUUUUUAAAAUUUCUCACCUGCAACAUUUAUAGAACACUUGGAGAUUUAAGAGUUUCGGGGAGAAAGUCUAAUUUAUGCAUUAGGUGUCUAACAGGAAGGGGUUGCCAGACUUUAAUUUCUCUUCUCUUUCCUUCUGAUUGAAUUAAAAGGGUAUGGGUAAUCUGGUCUGUAAGAUAGAUGGUGGCUCUGUGAACCGUUUCGUUCCCCAGGGUGUAGAAGAACAUUAAGACCUUGAAGUUUUAGAUGCCAAGCAUGGAGAACCCAUGGCAUAUUUGAAUUCUUCUUUCACAGAAGCACUGAGUUCCGUGCAUGAAAACAGCCACAGACAAAGGCAGCCAUGGAACAGUGUGAAAUGAGUCUGCCCCAGUGCUAAGGACUGGUCUUCUUGGUCUUUGGAGUUGGCCACACUGGCUGUAUCCUUACUGGCUGUUUUACAUUUCACAAGUUAUUUAACCUCUCUGGGCUCCAAUUUCCUUAUACAAUAUUCUAACAGCUUUUCAACUCCUUAGUAAAUUAUGAUUCUGUUCUGUAGUUCCAGCAAAAGUCCCAGAUUACUUCUCAUUGACCUGGCUUGGGAGAUGGUUGUAUAAGUGAGGCAGAUACUAUGAUUAGGAACAUGAAUCCUUUUUUUUGGUCAAAGAUUCAGGCAUAUGUAGUCAGCUGCACCGGGGCAGACACUGGCUGCGGAAACCACCGCAAAAUCUGAGCCAGGGUAGGAAAAUGUGAAUUGUCAUUGAAGAAUUGCUGGACGCUCAGUGCAGACCACUCUGAGAGUGAAAAACCCCAAAGAAGGCAGAGGAAGGUCCUCCACAAGAUCUGUCCUCCAGUUAAUGUGUAAUUCAAUGUAUAGAAUGUACCUACCCCACCCCCAGCUCACAUAUAAUUGUUGUACAGUAUUUCUUUUUUUAAUUGUUAAACUUUGUCUUUAUUAUUAUUUUAAAGGUUAAUAUUUGUUUAUAUUUACCAUGUGUUAAUUGAAGACUUUUAUUAAUACUCCUUCUCACAUCCAUCCAUCCUUUGGAAUUUCUUUCUUCUAAAAUCCCUCAGCUAAAUUAUCAUUCAAGAAUAAAAGUGAAUGUGCCCCAUCUGUGGUAAAUUCUGAUUUUUGUCCAAAAAGCCUUUAUAUCACUUUUAUUUUUGAAUGAUAAUUUAGCUAAAUAUAGAAUUCUAAGAUUCAUUACUAUUUGUUACUAAUAUUAAAUAUUUUUAUUUAAAAUGAUUUUGUGUCAAAAUACUCCCAGGUUCAAAAACAACAGAGACAAACUGGCAAAACCAAACCCCCCAUUGCCCCAUUAUAUCUGUCAUACUAGUAAAUUGAUAAGGCGUGUUCCUGCUAACAAGAAGCUUAUUGUCUCUUUAACUUCAAAGCAGAAAUAUUAAACAAAAAAUAAAUAUAUAUUUUAUAUAUAAAUUUUAUGAUAUUAUAUAUCAAACAAAAUAAAUAUUGUUGAAAAUUUGGAUGAUGUAUUCAGAAUUUUUGUUUAAAUAAUAUUGAAAAGAGAAUAAAUUGCCCUCUUCUCUAGUUACUAAAGAAAUAUUAGCAAUUAAGAAUUUAUUUGAAUGCUUGAAUGAGCAAGGAAGAAAACAACUUAAUUUACUUUUCUGAUGUAAAGUAGAGGAUCUGCCUGAGAUCUACCUAAAAUUGACCUGUUGGGCAGUUCCUUUUGGAAGUAACUAAGUCCUCUCUUGAUUUGAGAAGACUUCAUAGCCUACAAGAAUAAAGUGACCUGUCAAAGAUAUAUUACUAAUAAACAGAAGAAGGUCUGGGGAAUGGUUUGGAAAAUAUUUUUUUUUCCAUGGGGAUGGGAGGAGGUCAAUGGAUGUGCUUCAGCAAUCAGUGAACCCCGGAGCAUUGCAGGAAAUAUUUUGUCUUUCCUCAUUUUCUCCCUCCAUGCUUUUCUUCCUAUCCUUACAGAAAUGGAAAAGUAAGGAGAUAGAUAAAUCCUUCCAGAGUAUCAGAAAAGAAAAUCUUGGAAGUUUUCUGAGUAAUAGAAAACUUAGACUAUGUUUGAAUAGAAACCAUAGACACUACAAACAUUGUACUCUUGAGAUAGGUUUCGACUAAAUCAAGUCUUAUUUGAAAUUUCAGUUAACAUUUGCAUGUUUCUUAACGGUUAUUAAAGGUUAAAAAGUCAUUUAAAAUGAAAUUUCUUACACUGAGGUAAAAAGAAUUGGGUAACUUAGAUUACAGUGAAAUUCAAUCUAGUCUGUUGCCAUUCAAGUAGAAAUCUGUAAUGAUGGUUUAAAGCAGACUUUCUAUAAAUAUUUAAUUUAUUUACUUUUUCAAACUUAUAUUAGGGAAAUGUACUUCAUCAGUGCUAUUACCAGCUGACCAUUAUUGGACUAUUAAAGAGAAUUUUCAUUACUUGCUCUGUAUAUAGUUAUAAAACUGAAAAAGUUAAAAAUCAGAGAACUUUUCAUUAUAAUUAAACCAUUAAUACAUAUAUUUUUUUAAUAGUGAACUUUUUUUAAAUCAGAGAACUUUUCAUUAUAUUAGGCCAUUAAUACACAUAUUUAAAAAAUAGUCAUUGGCAGAGAAAGACGUAAUUUCACUCAGGUAUAAAAUCUAAAAAACAAAACAAAGAAAACAGAAACAAACUUAUAAACACAGAGUAGAGUGGUGCUUGCCAUAGGGGAGGAGGGGAUGGGUAAAAUAGGUGAAGGGUAUUAAGAGGUACAAACUUCCAAUUAUAAGAUAAAUUAGUCACAGGAUGAAAGUACAGCAUAGGGAAUAUAGUUAAUAUUGUAAUUUCUUUGUAUGUUGACAGGUGGUAACUACACUUAUCGUGGUGAACAUUUAGGAAUGUAUAAUUGCUGAAUCACUAUGUUAUACAUCUGAAACCAAUAGAAAAUUAUAUCAACUGUAUUUCAAUUAAAAAUAAGAAAAUAGUAAUUGACAUGCUACUACCAUGGAACUAUUGACUUUUAUGAAUGAAAUAUUUAAUAAUGUACACUUACAUGGAAUGUAUCGUAGGGGUUGGUUUUAACUCUCUAAUUCAUGCCUUAUUUUAUUAAUCAAUUAAUGGAUACCUAUAUUUUAUUUAAAACUAUUUCUUAUAGAUUAACAACAUAUGCCACUUUUAUACAUGUGAGUCUAAAACAAAAGAAUUUUUAAAUUAAGUGAAAAAAAUUACUGUCUACUUUCAACUGUUCCAUAUUAAUCUAUUUUGACUUCCCAAAGUUAUUUGUCCUCUGCCAGACUAGCAGCUGCUACAGCCAUGCAUCUGUCACAUGUUCCAAGAUAGUCUAGUACCCAGACAAAUAGAUGAUUGAGGCACAAAAACAAAAACCCAAAAAGGGGCCAGAUAGCUAUCUUUCCACUAAAAUAAUUUAUGUAUUUUAUAAUAUGCAAGCAUGAAAAAUAUUACAUUCAGAGGUUAUAAAUGAAGAGAUACAGAGAAUAAUUAAGCUGUUUCCAAAAAUUGAACCGCCAGAUCUCUGCCAAACUCAUUUACACCAAAGUAAGUUUUAAUGAGGCUGUGUGCCUCUGUGUGUGCUUCUAUGAUGUGUGAGUGUGUGUGUGCUGUGUGGGAGACUUGUGUGUCCAUGAAUUUGUGUCUCCAUGUACAUACCCAUCUGUCAAUGUUUUUGUAUCUGUUGUGUCUCGGGGGCAGGACCCAGAGGUGGGAUUAUAUUUGUAUAAAAAAAAGAAGGAAUCCAUUUCAGCUGGAAUCCAUCUUCCACUGGAUAAGAAAAAAGAAGUGUAUUUUUAUUACUAAAAAGAUCCCUGGACAAUAGGUGAAACAAUAGAAAAUUUUUGUGCCUAUAGAUUUUAAACUUUUUUAUAUAACUUUAUUAUAAUAGAUAUAUGUGUGUUCAUUAUUGUUUCAAAUAGAUAUGAUCACCCUUUAAUAACCUAUUGAUAUAUAUACUUUCAGAUAUGUUUUAUAUAUAAACAUGUUUUUGCAAAAUGGGAUUAUCCUAAAUAAACCAUUUUUUACUAAUAUGGCAAGAAGUCAAUAAGUACUUAUUUGUUCUCUCCCUAACACAAAGCACAGUAUGGGAUAUAUAGAAGGCAUUAAGAAAAUAUGUGUUACAUAAAUGGAGGAAUCCUUUGUGAUUGUCUUUGUCAUUAUUUUCCCUGUGGCAUAUUUAUUUAUUUAUUUAUGAAUUCCAAAUGAAGUGAACUUUAGCCUUUUGUUAUAUACGUAUGUUACAAAUGCUGUUUCCCCCAUUUACACUUAAAUUUUCCUUCUCCAAAUGAAUAUUUGGAAAUAAUAUUCAAACAUCUGGAUUCAUUUGAUUGAAUAAAAAUGUCAUCUGACUUAAUACAAAUGGUGCUUUAUUAUGACUUUUCGGGAAAUAAAUAAAGUAAAUCCAAUAUAUAGUAGCAAAGGGCUGAACCAGUAGAGGUUCUACUCUGUUUAUAUAAAGAUACAGGAAUGAUUUGUAGGUAUUAACACAGAAUAUGCUAACAGCAGUAAAUUUUGGAGUCAGACAGACUUGAUUCUUAUUUCCACCCCUCAGUAGCCGUGUGAUACAAGAAAAUCAUUUAGUGCCUCUAAGCAUCUGUAAAUUGGUGAUAAUCAGCCCUCCCUCCAUGAGUUAAUGCCCAGUAGUGCUCAGCUAAUGGUCUUUAUGUGGCAUUCCAUCCCACGAUGGGUAUUUCCAAACUGGAUACUUAUUCUUAAAUAUGAAAACAAACUAGA